UAUUGGCACUAGUCGCCCGUGACAUCAAGAAACUAGUGAUUAUGCCAAACCACAGGGACAUAUCACAGUUUACUUGCUGUCGCGGGCGGUGCUGAGUU
ensembl:miRNA mir-43 ncRNA